UGCACAGGCGUGCGUAAAUGAAGUGGUUUUCGGCAUUUCUCGUGCUUACAGUAUAUAUCCAUGGCUCCCAAUGCUUUUUUGAAUUCUUUCAUCGUCAUAAAUCAAACGAUGCUACGAAUUCACAGGCUGGUAAGAUGUCUAAAAGAACAGUAUCCUGCAUUUUCAACCAAUCAAAAGUUCUAAACGGAAGACCUCGAAGUUUUUCUCAACCUUGUGUGAGAGUGUCAUGUUCUGGCGGAAGGCUGUUCACUAUCGGAUGCUCGAACAAUACCGCACCUAAUAGAAGGUGUACCCAACCCAUUAGAAAGCCCUGGCCCUAUUGUUGCUAUUGUGACCAGUGGGUUUAAAUAACACGGAUAUAGUUUUAGGGGCCUAUAAAGUAAAUUUUGAUUGUGUAUUACUUCAGGUAGUUAGCUACGAAAGAACCAUUUUCAAACCUGUACCAGCAAUGUAUUUCAGAAUAAAGAGC